rnacentral:rRNA from 1 species
UACGUAGGGGGCAAGCGUUGUCCGGAUUUAUUGGGCGUAAAGAGCGUGUAGGCGGUCAGGUAGGUCCGUUGUGAAAACUCGAGGCUCAACCUCGAGACGCCGAUGGAAACCAUCUGACUAGAGUCCGGAAGAGGAGAGUGGAAUUCCUGGUGUAGCGGUGAAAUGCGCAGAUAUCAGGAGGAACACCAAUGGCGAAGGCAGCACUCUGGGACGUGACUGACGCUGAGACGCGAAAGCGUGGGGAGCAAACAGG